UGAAUUAUUAUUUACCCAACUCUGUUGCUGAUAUAUGACUUUCUCCACUAUUUCAGCAAUAUAAUCAAGUUUUAUAGAAACCUGAACUGCCCAGGAACUGGUGACUCAAGGUCCACCACCGACAGAAGAAGUUAAGACUGAGAAGGAGUGGUUCCAUGUGUGAAACAAGCUUUGCAUUGCUGAAUUUAUAAUAACAGAAAACAUUCGGUUUUCUGUUCUAUUUACAGAGUAGUGUCUCAGGGAGGAAGAAAUACAGUGCCCCAUUUUGGGAUGUCUGUUUUCCUGCCUAUCACUGGCACAUUGCAGUUUCUUUUGAAGAUGCAGCACAUCCCAGGAGCAGUUCUCUGUACUAGCACCAUUUCAGGCUACUCAAUACCACAGAUAAAGGAAGUUUCAGCUAAACUCUCUCAGCAAAUCAUCAAAUGGAGCCUGUCUCUGAGACUUAACUUGAUCUAUGUCAAGGCAUCAGGACGUGGAGGAAGCCCUCGGAUAUGCAGCUGGGAAGAGGAGAGGCUUUCAAGUGUUCAGAGGAGAUAGUGGGACCAAGCAUCCUGCUCUGAAGGUGCGGUCCUCACCAAACCUAUGAGGGG
rnacentral:lncRNA from 1 species